AGUGAACGCUGGCGGCAGGCCUAACACAUGCAAGUCGAACGGCAGCACAGUAAGAGCUUGCUCUUACGGGUGGCGAGUGGCGGACGGGUGAGGAAUACAUCGGAAUCUACUUUUUCGUGGGGGAUAACGUAGGGAAACUUACGCUAAUACCGCAUACGACCUACGGGUGAAAGCAGGGGAUCUUCGGACCUUGCGCGAUUGAAUGAGCCGAUGUCGGAUUAGCUAGUUGGCGGGGUAAAGGCCCACCAAGGCGACGAUCCGUAGCUGGUCUGAGAGGAUGAUCAGCCACACUGGAACUGAGACACGGUCCAGACUCCUACGGGAGGCAGCAGGGGGGAAUAUUGGACAAUGGGCGCAAGCCUGAUCCAGCCAUACCGCGUGGGUGAAGAAGGCCUUCGGGUUGUAAAGCCCUUUUGUUGGGAAAGAAAAGCAGCAGGUUAAUACCCCGCUGUUCUGACGGUACCCAAAGAAUAAGCACCGGCUAACUUCGUGC
rnacentral:rRNA from 1 species